ACAAUGGGGGAAACCCUGAUGCAGCGACGCCGCGUGGAGGAAGAAGGUCUUCGGAUUGUAAACUCCUGUUGUUGAGGAAGAUAAUGACGGUACUCAACAAGGAAGUGACGGCUAACUACGUGCCAGCAGCCGCGGUAAAACGUAGGUCACAAGCGUUGUCCGGAAUUACUGGGUGUAAAGGGAGCGCAGGCGGGAAGACAAGUUGGAAGUGAAAUCUAUGGGCUCAACCCAUAAACUGCUUUCAAAACUGUUUUUCUUGAGUAGUGCAGAGGUAGGCGGAAUUCCCGGUGUAGCGGUGGAAUGCGUAGAUAUCGGGAGGAACACCAGUGGCGAAGGCGGUCUACUGGGCACCAACUGACGCUGAGGCUCGAAAGCAUGGGUAGCAAACAGGAUUAGAUACCCUGGUAGUCCAUGCCGUAAACGAUGAUUACUAGGUGUGGGAGGAUUGACCCCUUCCGUGCCGCAGUUAACACAAUAAGUAAUCCACCUGGGGAGUACGACCGCAAGGUUGAAACUCAAAGGAAUUGACGGGGGCCCGCACAAGCAGUGGAGUAUGUGGUUUAAUUCGACGCAACGCGAAGAACCUUACCAAGUCUUGACAUCCUGCGACGCACAUAGAAAUAUGUGUUUCCUUCGGGACGCAGAGACAGGUGGUGCAUGGUUGUCGUCAGCUCGUGUCGUGAGAUGUUGGGUUAAGUCCCGCAACGAGCGCAACCCUUAUGGUCAGUUACUACGCAAGAGGACUCUGGCCAGACUGCCGUUGACAAAACGGAGGAAGGUGGGGAUGACGUCAAAUCAUCAUGCCC
rnacentral:rRNA from 1 species